rnacentral:rRNA from 1 species
GACGAACGCUGGCGGCGUGCUUAACACAUGCAAGUCGAGCGGUAAGGCCCUUUCGGGGGUACACGGGCGGCGAACGGGUGAGUAACACGUGGGUGACCUGCCCUCAGCUCUGGGAUAAGCCUGGGAAACCGGGUCUAAUACUGGAUAUGACUCCAUGACGCAUGUUGUGGGGUGAAAGCCUUGUGCGGCUGAGGAUGGGCCCGCGGCCUAUCAGCUUGUUGGUGGGGUNAUGGCCUACCAAGGCGACGACGGGUAGCCGGCCUGAGAGGGCGACCGGCCACACUGGGACUGAGACACGGCCCAGACUCCUACGGGAAGCAGCAGUGGGGAAUCUUGCGCAAUGGGCGAAAGCCUGACGCAGCGACGCCGCGUGAGGGAUGACGGCCUGGUGU